rnacentral:rRNA from 1 species
UGAGUCUGCGGACUAUCAGGUUGUAGUCAGGGUAAAGACCUGACUAGCCUACGACGGAUACGGGUUGUGAGAGCAAUAACCCGGAGAUGAUAUCUGAGACACGAUAUCAGGCCCUGCGGGGCGCAGCAGGCGCGAAAACUUCACACUGCGCGAAAGCGCGAUGAGGGAAUCCCAAGUGCUUGCACGUAAGUGUAAGCUGUUUCUUUGUCUAAAAAGCAUAGAGAGUAAGAGCUGGGUAAGACGGGUGCCAGCCGCCGCGGUAAUACCUGCAGCUCAAGUGGUGAUCGUUAUUAUUGGGCCUAAAACGUCCGUAGCCGGUUUAUUAAAUGCCUGGGUAAAUCGGGCCGCUU